rnacentral:rRNA from 1 species
CAGUAGCCACGGUAAUACGGAAGGUGCAAGCGUUAAUCGGAAUUACUGGGCGUAAAGCGCACGCAGGCGGACUUUUAAGUCAGGGGUGAAAUCCCGGGGCUCAACCCCGGAACUGCCUUUGAUACUGGGAGUCUUGAGUUCGAGAGAGGUGGGUGGAAUUGCGAGUGUAGAGGUGAAAUUCGUAGAUAUUCGCAGGAACACCAGUGGCGAAGGCGGCUCACUGGCUCGAUACUGACGCUGAGGUGCGAAAGCGUGGGGAGCAAACAGGAUUAGAUACCCCCGUAGUCCCUGUCUCUUAUAU